UGGCCAGACUCCUACGGGAGGCAGCAGUGGGGGAUAUUGGACAAUGGGGGGAACCCUGAUGCAGCGACGCCGCGUGAGUGAGGAAGUAUUUCGGUAUGUAAAGCUCUAUCAGCAGGGAAGAAAAUGACGGUACCUGACUAAGAAGCUCCGGCUAAAUACGUGCCAGCAGCCGCGGUAAUACGUAUGGAGCAAGCGUUAUCCGGAUUUACUGGGUGUAAAGGGAGCGUAGGCGGCAUGGUAAGUCUGAUGUGAAAAUUUGGGGCUCAACCCCAAACGUGCAUUGGAAACUGCUAAGCUUGAGUGCCGGAGAGGCAAGCGGAAUUCCUAGUGUAGCGGUGAAAUGCGUAGAUAUUAGGAGGAACACCAGUGGCGAAGGCGGCCUGCUGGACGGUAACUGACGCUGAGGCUCGAAAGCGUGGGGAGCAAACAGGAUUAGAUACCCCCGUAAU
rnacentral:rRNA from 1 species